ACUACGGUGCUGAAGUAACAAAUGCCCUGCUUCCAGGAAAAGCCUCUAAGCAUCAGGUAACAUUAAAUCGUACCCCAAACCGACACAGGUGGUCAGGUAGAGAAUACCAAGGCGCUUGAGAGAACUCGGGUGAAGGAACUAGGCAAAAUGGUGCCGUAACUUCGGGAGAAGGCACGCUGGUGUGUAGGUGAAGUCCCUGCGGAUGGAGCUGAGACCAGUCGAAGAUACCAGCUGGCUGCAACUGUUUAUUAAAAACACAGCACUGUGCAAACACGAAAGUGGACGUAUACGGUGUGACGCCUGCCCGGUGCCGGAAGGUUAAUUGAUGGGGUUAUCCGUAAGGAGAAGCUCUUGAUCGAAGCCCCGGUAAACGGCGGCCGUAACUAUAACGGUCCUAAGGUAGCGAAAUUCCUUGUCGGGUAAGUUCCGACCUGCACGAAUGGCGUAAUGAUGGCCAGGCUGUCUCCACCCGAGACUCAGUGAAAUUGAACUCGCUGUGAAGAUGCAGUGUACCCGCGGCAAGACGGAAAGACCCCGUGAACCUUUACUAUAGCUUGACACUGAACAUUGAGCCUUGAUGUGUAGGAUAGGUGGGAGGCUUUGAAGCGUGGACGCCAGUCUGCGUGGAGCCAACCUUGAAAUACCACCCUUUAAUGUUUGAUGUUCUAACGUUGGCCCCUUACCGGGGUUGCGGACAGUGUCUGGUGGGUAGUUUGACUGGGGCGGUCUCCUCCCAAAGCGUAACGGAGGAGCACGAAGGUUAGCUAAUCCUGGUCGGACAUCAGGAGGUUAGUGCAAUGGCAUAAGCUAGCUUGACUGCGAGCGUGACGGCGCGAGCAGGUGCGAAAGCAGGUCAUAGUGAUCCGGUGGUUCUGAAUGGAAGGGCCAUCGCUCAACGGAUAAAAGGUACUCCGGGGAUAACAGGCUGAUACCGCCCAAGAGUUCAUAUCGACGGCGGUGUUUGGCACCUCGAUGUCGGCUCAUCACAUCCUGGGGCUGAAGUAGGUCCCAAGGGUAUGGCUGUUCGCCAUUUAAAGUGGUACGCGAGCUGGGUUUAGAACGUCGUGAGACAGUUCGGUCCCUAUCUGCCGUGGGCGCUGGAGAAUUGAGGGGGGCUGCUCCUAGUACGAGAGGACCGGAGUGGACGCAUCACUGGUGUUCGGGUUGUCAUGCCAAUGGCACUGCCCGGUAGCUAAAUGCGGAAGAGAUAAGUGCUGAAAGCAUCUAAGCACGAAACUUGCCCCGAGAUGAGUUCUCCCUGAGACUUUAAGUCUCCUGAAGGAACGUUGAAGACGACGACGUUGAUAGGCCGGGUGUGUAAGCGCAGCGAUGCGUUGAGCUAACCGGUACUAAUGAACCGUGAGGCUUAACCUU
rnacentral:rRNA from 1 species